rnacentral:misc_RNA from 1 species
GAAAUGCGAUAAGUAAUGUGAAUUGCAGAAUUCAGUGAAUCAUCGAAUCUUUGAACGCACCUUGCGCUCCUUGGUAUUCCUGAGAGCAUGCCUGUUUGAGUAUCAUGAAAUCUUCAAAGUAAAUCUUUUGUUAACUCAAUUGGUUUCUACUUUGGUAUUGGAGGUCUUUGCAGCUUCACACCUGCUCCUCUUUGUUCAUUAGCUGGAUCUCAGUGUUAUGCUUGGUUCCACUCGGCGUGAUAAGUUAUCUAUCGCUGAGGACACUGUAAAAGGUGGCCAAGGUAAAUGCAGAUGAACCGCUUCUAAUAGUCCAUUGACUUGGACAAUACUUUUAUGAUCUGAUCUCAAAUCAGGUAGGACUACCCGCUGAACUUAAGC